UUUUUUAUCUCAUGUGAUGUUAAGCCAGACAGCCACUGUUUACCAUAUACACACAGAAGACAAAUGCAAACACAUCCCAAAACCCUCAUGUCCUUAGCUGUCUUUGAGCUUCUUUCUUCUUCUUUUUCAAUUCAAUUCAAUUCUCCCAUCACCAUUUGUAAAUGCAAGUAGCUAUAGAACCACUUGGAGGAAAACCCAUUUUUUUGCCCCCUUUUCCACACCCUUUUCUCCUCUCGAGCGAGAGAAAUCUGCAGCCACUAUCCAGUUCGUAUCGAGGCUAAUGGUUUCCAUUAUGUGGCUGUAAAUUCUUGGGAGGCUAUCGAGAAAAUGGUGGCGGUGGAGGCGGCGGCGGCGGCGGAGGCGGAGGAGGAGGAGGAAAUGGGUCCUAAAGAUCUGCGGUUGGGACCUUAUGGCUUGCCGGUGUUAGCGGUUUUUCUCAUUGGUGGUUGACGGCGGCGGAGGUGGCGGUGAUAUUGGCGGGGACGGCUCAAUCUUUACAUGUAUUUUUUGUACUGUCAUCUUUAAUUUUUAUUUUUAUUUUUUUCAUUUUGGAAAAGGAUUUUCACCCAUACAGGUUGGCUUUCUUCAUUCUGUUCCUUUUUCUGAUUCAUUUAUGUAGCAUUGGGAAUUAUAUUUAAUUUUUAAAAUUUUAGCUUGAAAAUAACAAGAAAAAUGUGAAUUAUUGAA